GAUGAACGCUGGCGGCGUGCCUAAUACAUGCAAGUCGAGCGAACGGACGCGAAGCUUGCUUGUCUGAUGUUAGCGGCGGACGGGUGAGUAACGCGUGGAACACCUACCUAUAAGACUGGGAUCACUUGGGAAAACCGGCGAUAAUCCCGUAUAAUAUUUUGAACCGCAUGGGUCAAUAGAGAAAGACGGGCUGGCGGUCAGGUAUAGAUGGAUCCGCGCGGCUUUAGCUAGUUGGUAAGGUAACGGCUUACCAAGGUAACGAUGCAUAGCCGACGUGAGAGGGGGAUCGGCCACACUGGAACUGAGACACGGACCAUACGACUACGGGAGGCAGCAGUAGGGAAUGUUCCGCAGUGGGCGAAAGCCUUACGGAGCAACGGCGCGUGAGUGAUGAAGGUCUUGGGAUCGUAAAACUCUGUUACUAGGGAAGAACAUAUGUGUAAGUAAAUGUGCACAUCGUGACGGUACCUAAUCAGAAAGCCACGGCUAACUACGUG
rnacentral:rRNA from 1 species